rnacentral:rRNA from 1 species
UGGCGGCAGGCUUAACACAUGCAAGUCGAGCGGGCACUUUCGGGUGUCAGCGGCGGACGGGUGAGUAACGCGUGGGAACGUGCCCUCUGGUUCGGAAUAACUCAGGGAAACUUGAGCUAAUACCGGAUACGCCCUUUUGGGGAAAGGCUUGCUGCCGGAGGAUCGGCCCGCGUCUGAUUAGCUAGUUGGUGAGGUAACGGCUCACCAAGGCGACGAUCAGUAGCUGGUCUGAGAGGAUGAUCAGCCACACUGGGACUGAGACACGGCCCAGACUCCUACGGGAGGCAGCAGUGGGGAAUAUUGGACAAUGGGCGCAAGCCUGAUCCAGCCAUGCCGCGUGAGUGAUGAAGGCCUUAGGGUUGUAAAGCUCUUUUAUCCGGGACGAUAAUGACGGUACCGGAGGAAUAAGCCCCGGCUAACUUCGUG